CAGCUUUCGAUGCUGGAGCAGAACUUGGAGUAGAGUUUUCUGUGGAUGUACAGACUGUGAAAUCAUCAGUGUCAACAAGCAUAGGUCCAUUUGUUGCCGGAAAAGUCGAAGCUUCUUUGGGUGUAUCUAUCGGUGUUGCAUCUGCUGGAAUAACCCUCACUGGAUGGCUGAUGAAAACACGUUUUCCUUACGUACUGGAGAUGAACUACGCAAAAGUACCAAUAGUUGCCACGAAAAAACUUAGUGUCGAGCUCACACCACUUGAACUACGACUAAGAGCAUGGGU